GUUCCAAGGGGCCGGAACUUACACAAGGCAGUGCUGUUUCAGGAGGCUGCUUCACUCCUCAGGGCUGCAAAGCCAUCACGCUUUUGUUGACUGUGUGGCUCACACCUGGGUCCGGAGCCGGCACCUUGCCCAGAGAUGCCAGGUGCUGUCUCUUAAUCAGAAAUAAUGAGCAAGGCAGCUGUGGCUUCUCAUCAGCCAAUCCCUCCAGCGUGUCAGAUGGGGGCCAAUUAGCAGAGGCACCAAGCAACAGAAUUCUGCCUUCGCAAGCAAAACAUCCAAAAGUGCUGAGCCCCUUCGCAGUGACACUGGACCCCAGCGUCUUACCUUUCCCCAGCUUUACAUUGGUCUUUUCUUGGUCCUGGGUGAGCCGGGGCUGGUUCCAGGAUUGGAACCUCCCGAAGCAGCAAGCCCUGACACCUGGAGUGGAGUUCAAGGACUUUUUUUUUCAAUCUAAGUUUCUUUGGCCACCACCACUCCCCACGGCCAACAGCCACAUUCUUUCUUGGACCACGUCAUUCAUUCUCAGUUGCUUGGCCUCGAAGGCCUGUGGGCGGCACAGACUCCAGCCUUUGAGACAUUAAAAAAAAAGGCUCCCCUUCUGGGGAGACCAUUUAGGACACAGCCCCUGCCAGGAAUGUUUCAGCUCCUGCGCACCCCGAGGCUUCGUGCCUUUGCACAAGGUUAUAAAAAUGGAACUAUUCAUUGGGACACUCAAAUGAUACAGGAAAAGGAUAAAGAAAGUGAAAAAUCACCUGCUGUCCCCCCACCCCGAGCUGUUACCUACCGUGUGGGCUAGCAUGCUUCAGACACACACAGCUGUGGGCAACCUUAUGUAAGUGGCGUCAUCCCACACGAGUGGGUGUAUCCUCUGCUGGCCCCUGCCCCCCGGCCCCCAGUGUAUGGAACACAAAAGUUGUUCUUGAAAAAGUUGUCUCUACACUCCCAGACUGCAUUCCUAGCCUUCACAACCACAGACAUCUGCUCCAGCCCCUACCUCUCAAUGGAAACCACUCUGUGGUCACCAAUGGCCUCCCUGUACCUAAGUCAGAAGUUGGAGGCCUUUCUUUUUUUUCUCUUUUUUUGAGGAAGAUUAGCCCUGAGCUAACAUCUGCUGCCAAUCCUCUUUUUGCUGAGGAAGACUGGCCCUGAGUUACCAUCCGUGCCCAUCUUCCUCUACUUUAUAUGUGGGACGCCUACCACAGCAUGGCUUGCUGAGCGGUGCCAUGUCCGCACCUGGGAUCUGAACUGGUGAACCCCGGACCUCUGAAGCAGAACGUGCAAACAACUGCUGCACCACGGGGCCAGCCCCUUGGGACCUUUCUUGAAGUCAGCUGUUCAACUGAAAAAAUGAGCCCAGAACUGGGAGGCCCUCCCAGGGGACCAGCUGGUUGGGCCUCUCAGAAGUGUCUGUCAGCACUGAGCACUGCCUUCUGGGACAUUCUCCUUGGUUCUCUGCCAUCAUGCUCACCCGAUGUUCCCCAGUCCUGCCUCUCUCCAGACACUUCUAUCUCUCACCUGUUCUUCGAGAGUCAGAGUUCCUCAGUCCUGGAUUUCUCUUUCUCAUCCUCUGUGGUCCUCUCAGAUGAAUUCAUUGCCUGUGACUCCUGAAUCCCUGUUUCUGGCCCAGAUCUCUCGAGAAUCUCACAUCUGGAUGUUCUUCCCGCUCUCCUACCUCACGCUCAACUUGUUGACGAACCCACCCCUUUUCUAGUGUUCUCCAUCUUGUGGAAGGGCACUCCCAUGCACCCAGGUUGUGUCCUGCUUCCUGCCUCUGUGAAACUUCUCUACUCCAGCCUUUACCCUGGCUCCCACACUGGUCCCCAACCUUGGCAGCCCCAGGAAGCCUUCCCCGGAGCUCCUCCAGCUCGCUGUGCUUAGAGUCCUCCCCUC
rnacentral:lncRNA from 1 species